GACGAACGCUGGCGGCGUGCUUAACACAUGCAAGUCGAACGGAAAGGCCCCUUUGGGGGUACUCGAGUGGCGAACGGGUGAGUAACACGUGAGUAACCUGCCCUUGACUUCGGGAUAACUUCAGGAAACUGGGGCUAAUACCGGAUAGGAAUCCUUGCUGCAUGGUGGGGGUUGGAAAGCUUCGGCGGGUUUGGAUGGACUCGCGGCUUAUCAGCUUGUUGGUGGGGUAGUGGCUUACCAAGGCUUUGACGGGUAGCCGGCCUGAGAGGGCGACCGGCCACAUUGGGACUGAGAUACGGCCCGGACUCCUACGGGAGGCAGCAGUGGGGAAUAUUGCACAAUGGGCGGAAGCCUGAUGCAGCAACGCCGCGGGCGGGAUGACGGCCUUCGGGUUGUAAACCGCUUUCAGCAGGGGCGAAGCUUGUGGUGACGGUACCUGCAGAAGAAGCACCGGCUAACUACGUG
rnacentral:rRNA from 1 species